rnacentral:rRNA from 1 species
UACAGAGGCCCCAAGCGUUAGUCGGAAUCACUGGGCUUAAAGGGUGCGUAGGCGGAUGUGUAAGUGUCUUGUGAAAGCCCCGGGCUCAACCCGGGAACCGCAGGGCAUACUGCAUGUCUUGAGGAAACUAGAGGCCGGUAGAACGAUCGGUGGAGCGGUGGAAUGCGUAGAGAUCGAUCGGAAUGCCAAUGGUGAAGACAGCCGGCUGGGGUUUUCCUGACGCUGAGGCACGAAAGCGUGGGGAUCAAAC